GCUAUGGAGGUGAUUCAACUUCCAGAGGCUUCCUCAUAAAUUUUUGGAAUUUUUGAGACACAGAUAAACUUCGGGUGAUCGAUGUCAGCUAUUUUCCUACAUCCAGCAGCCACAAUAGUCAUCGGUGUACUGCCACAGGAGGAGUUAUUUUACAGAGCAACAUG